AUAGCCAAUGGUUUGCUUGUGAAAAAGAUUUCCAGACUAUUUCAAAAGCCCAACUAUAUUCAUGCCCAUAUACCCAUCAACAGAUGAAUGAAUAAAGAAAAUGUAGAAGAUGCCAAAACACCCCGCUGCAGACAGGCAGCCACCUGGGUCCACACUACAAAGACACAGAGGACACCAGACCACCAGACCAAGGUCUGCAUCAAUGUAACCACAAGAUGAUCCACUCUAUCAAUUUCAGGAAACCAAAACCAAACCAAAACAGCACUGAGAGAUAAAUUU
rnacentral:lncRNA from 1 species